rnacentral:rRNA from 1 species
GAUGAACGCUGGCGGCGUGCCUAAUACAUGCAAGUCGAGCGAAUGGAUUAAGAGCUUGCUCUUAUGAAGUUAGCGGCGGACGGGUGAGUAACACGUGGGUAACCUGCCCAUGAGACUGGGAUAACUCCGGGAAACCGGGGCUAAUACCGGAUAAUAUUUUGAACUGCAUGGUUCAAAAUUGAAAGGCGGCUUCGGCUGUCACUUAUGGAUGGACCCGCGUCGCAUUAGCUAGUUGGUGAGGUAACGGCUCACCAAGGCAACGAUGCGUAGCCGACCUGAGAGGGGGAUCGGCCACACUGGGGCUGAGACACGGCCCAGACUCCUACGGGAGGCAGCAGUAGGGAAUCUUCCGCAAUGGACGAAAGUCUGACGGAGCAACGCCGCGUGAGUGAUGAAGGCUUUCGGGUCGUAAAACUCUGUUGUUAGGGAAGAACAGGUGCUAGUUGAAUAAGCUGGCACCUUGACGGUACCUAACCAGAAAGCCACGGCUAACUACGUGCCAGCCGCCGCAGUAA